rnacentral:rRNA from 1 species
UGCCUUUUAUUGUAGGCCUGCAUGAAUGGCUCGACGAGGGUUUAACUGUCUCUGAUUUGUGAGUCCUAAAUUGGAUUAAAGGUGAAGAUACCUUUAUAUAAAAGUUAGACAAGAAGACCCCGUGCAACUUUUAAAGUCGGUUUAUUAAGAAAUUUAAGAUUUUUAGGUGGGGCGCCUACUGAGUAAUAUUAACCUCUGUGUAUAAUAAAUACUUUCAAGUUUAGACCCGACAUUGUCGAUCAUAGGAGAAGUUACGCCGGGGAUAACAGGCUAAUCCGCUAGUAGAGAACGUAUUGGCUAGUGGGAUUGGCACCUCGAUGUUGAAUCAGGGAUGAUACCUUU